UGGGAGGACAACAACAGCUGGAUGCGGGAGGACAACAACAGCUGGAUGCGGGAGGACAACAGCUGGAUGCGGGAGGACAACAACAGCUGGAUGCGGGAGGACAACAACAGUCGGAUGCAGGCGGGCAACAGUUGGACAUGGGCAGGCAACAGUCGGACGUGGGCAGGCAACAGUUGGACAGGGGCUGGCAACAGUCGGAUGCAGGUGGGAAACAGUCAGACAUGGGCUGGCAACAGUCAGACAUGGGCACACAACAGUCGGACAUGGGCUAGCAACAGUCAGAGGCUGACAACAGUUGGACAUGGGCAGGCAACAGUUGGACGUGGGCUAGCAACAGUCAGAUGCAGGUGGGCAGCAGUCAGACAGAGGCUAACAGUCAGACAUGGGCACACAACAGUCAGACAUGGGCAGGCAACAGUUGGAUGUGGGCCACAGGCUUACAACAGUCGGAUGCAGGCGGGCAACAGUCGGACAGGGGCAGGCAACAGUUGGACAUGGGCAGGCAACAGUCGGACAGGGGCAGGCAACAGUUGGACGCGGGCUGGCAACAGUCGGAUGCAGGUGGGAAACAGACAUGGGCUGGCAACAGUUGGAUGCAGGUAGGCAACAGUCGGACAUAGGCAGGCAACAGUCGGAUGCAGGUGGGCAACAGUCGGAUGUGGGCUGGCAACAGUCGGAUGCGGGCAGGCAACAGUCAGAGGCUGACAACAGUCGGACAUGGGCUGGCAACAGUCGGACAUGGGCUAGUAACAGUCAGAUGCAGGCGGGCAACAGUCAGAGGCUGGCAACAGUCGGACGCGGGCAGGCAACAGUCAGAUGCAGGUGGGCAACAGUCGGACAGGGGCUGGCAACAGUCGGACAUGGGCAGGCAACAGUCAGAGGCUG
rnacentral:lncRNA from 1 species